AUUGAACGCUGGCGGCGUGCUUAACUCAUGCAAGUCGAUCGGUAACGCGGGGGCAACCCUGGCGACGAGAGGCGGACGGGUGAGGAACGCUUGGGAAUCUGCCUAUCAGCGGGGGACAACACGGGGAAACUCGUGCUAAUACCGCAUACGCUCUACGGAGGAAAGCCGGGGACCGCAAGGCCUGGCACUGAUAGAUGAGCCCAAGCCGGAUUAGCUAGUUGGCGGGGUAACGGCCCACCAAGGCGACGAUCCGUAGCUGGUCUGAGAGGACGAUCAGCCACACUGGGACUGAGACACGGCCCAGACUCCUACGGGAGGCAGCAGUGGGGAAUAUUGGACAAUGGGGGAAACCCUGAUCCAGCGACGCCGCGUGGGUGAAGAAGGCCUGCGGGUUGUAAAGCCCUUUCGGUAGGGACGAAAGCUCUCGACCUAACACGUCGGGAGGUUGACUUAACCUACAGAAGAAGCACCGGCUAACUCUGUGCCAGCAGCCGCAGUAAUAC
rnacentral:rRNA from 1 species